GUGCUCGCUUCGGCAGCACAUAUACUAAAAUUGGAACGAUACAGAGAAAAUUAGCAUUGCCCCUGCGCAAGGAUGGCACACAAAUUUGUGAAACAUUUGAGAGAGAG